GCCUGGAUAGCUCAGUUGGUUACAGCAUGAUGCUGAUAACAUCAAGGUUGCAGGUUUGAAUCCUGCAUGGGACG